CGGACGAACGCUGGCGGCGUGCCUAACACAUGCAAGUCGAGCGAGGCCUUGGAAUUGGAGUCCUUCGGGAUGAAGAGUCCUUGGCCUAGCGGCGGACGGGUGAGUAACGCGUGGGCAACCUACCCCAAAGUCCGGGAUAACAGUGGGAAACCGCUGCUAAUACCGGAUGACUUUACCUGAGGGCAUCCUCGGGUAAAGAAAGGUUACGCUUUGGGAUGGGCCCGCGUCCCAUUAGCUAGUUGGUGAGGUAACGGCUCACCAAGGCGACGAUGGGUAGCCGGCCUGAGAGGGUGAACGGCCACACUGGGACUGAGACACGGCCCAGACUCCUACGGGAGGCAGCAGUAGGGAAUAUUGCGCAAUGGGCGGAAGCCUGACGCAGCGACGCCGCGUGAGCGAAGAAGGCCUUCGGGUCGUAAAGCUCUGUCCUUGGGGAAGAAGGCGAAAGCUUGACGGUACCCAAGAAGAAAGCCCCGGCUAACUACGUG
rnacentral:rRNA from 1 species